rnacentral:sRNA from 1 species
GGGAUAGCAGCGAAAAUCCUUUAAUAGUAUAGAGCCAUAGCGAAAUACUAUUAAAGAUUGCAGCGCAUAGCCCGACCCGCU